CCUACGGGUGGCAGCAGUGAGGAAUAUUGGUCAAUGGGCGCGAGCCUGAACCAGCCAAGUCGCGUGAGGGAAGACGGUCCUAUGGAUUGUAAACCUCUUUUGUCGGGGAGCAAAAGACGCCACGCGUGGCGUUCCGAGAGUACCCGACGAAAAAGCAUCGGCUCACUCCGUGCCAGCAGCCGCGGUAAUACGGGGGAUGCGAGCGUUAUCCGGAUUUAUUGGGUUUAAAGGGUGCGCAGGCGGCAGAUAAAGUCAGGGGUAAAAUUGAGGGGCUAAACCUAGUCGUGCCGUUGAAACUGGUUGUCUUGAGUGAGUGAGAGGGAGGCGGAAUGCGUGGUGUAGCGGUGAAAUGCUUAGAUAUCACGCAGAACCCCGAUUGCGAAGGCAGCAUGCCGGCGCACUACUGACGCUGAGGCACGAAAGUGUGGGUAUCGAACAGGAUUAGAUACCCUUGUAGUC
rnacentral:rRNA from 1 species